rnacentral:rRNA from 1 species
AUUGAACGCUGGCGGCAUGCCUUACACAUGCAAGUCGAACGGCAGCGGACCUUCGAGUGCCGGCGAGUGGCGAACGGGUGAGUAAUAUAUCGGAACGUACCUUUCAGUGGGGGAUAACGUAGCGAAAGUUACGCUAAUACCGCAUAUUCUGUGAGCAGGAAAGCAGGUGAUCGCAAGACCUUGCGCUGAUUGAGCGGCCGAUAUCAGAUUAGCUAGUUGGUGAGGUAAAGGCUCACCAAGGCGACGAUCUGUAGCGGGUCUGAGAGGAUGAUCCGCCACACUGGAACUGAGACACGGUCCAGACUCCUACGGGAGGCAGCAGUGGGGAAUUUUGGACAAUGGGCGCAAGCCUGAUCCAGCCAUGCCGCGUGAGUGAAGAAGGCCUCGG